rnacentral:rRNA from 1 species
AGUGAACGCUGGCGGUAGGCCUAACACAUGCAAGUCGAACGGCAGCACAGUAAGAGCUUGCUCUUACGGGUGGCGAGUGGCGGACGGGUGAGGAAUACAUCGGAAUCUACUUUUUCGUGGGGGAUAACGUAGGGAAACUUACGCUAAUACCGCAUACGACCUACGGGUGAAAGCAGGGGAUCUUCGGACCUUGCGCGAUUGAAUUAGCCGAUGUCGGAUUAGCUAGUUGGCGGGGUAAAGGCCCACCAAGGCGACGAUCCGUAGCUGGUCUGAGAGGAUGAUCAGCCACACUGGAACUGAGACACGGUCCAGACUCCUACGGGAGGCAGCAGUGGGGAAUAUUGGACAAUGGGCGCAAGCCUGAUCCAGCCAUACCGCGUGGGUGAAGAAGGCCUUCGGGUUGUAAAGCCCUUUUGUUGGGAAAGAAAAGAAGCAGGUUAAUACCCCGCCGUUCUGACGGUACCCAAAGAAUAAGCACCGGCUAACUUCGUG